GUGCUUACUUGGGCAGCACAUAUACUAAAAUUGGAACAACACAGAGAAGGCCAGCACAGCCCCUGUGCGAGGAUGACACGCACAUUCGUGGAGCUUCCGUAUUUUUU